rnacentral:rRNA from 1 species
UACGUAGGGUGCGAGCGUUAAUCGGAAUUACUGGGCGUAAAGCGUGCGCAGGCGGUUCGUUGUGUCGGCGGUGAAAGCCCCGGGCUUAACCUGGGAAUGGCCGUUGAAACUGGCGAACUGGAGUGUGGCAGGAGGGGGUGGAAUUCCGCGUGUAGCAGUGAAAUGCGUAGAGAUGCGGAGGAACACCGAUGGCGAAAGCACUCUGCUGGGCCGACACUGACACUGAGAGACGAAAGCUAGGGGAGCGAAUGGG